rnacentral:rRNA from 1 species
GCCUAACGGCUGAACUGGCAACUUGGAGAAGUGGCAAGUCUUCCAGUAUGGGGAGCAAAACAGCUAUGGGUCAAGUCUGAUAUCUUUAGGAGGGGCGAAGCUCCUCUUAUUGUGAGGGCGAGUUAUAUAACACCAUAGGACUGGCCGUCCCAUAUGAAAAGAUUAUAUUAGAAUUGAAUGAAGCUUUGUUUAUAUAUUGAUAAUGACAGUAUAUAUAUCGUGUCUUGACUAAUUGCGUGCCAGCAGUCGCGGUAAUACGUAAGAGACUAGUGUUAUUCACUGGAAAUUAGGUUUAAAGGGUACCCAGACGGUCAAUAUAGCUAUAAAUUGUUAAUGUAGUA